CGGGGCAUGGCGCAGCUUGGUGGCAGCGCUUCAAUGGGGUUGAAGAGGUCGUGGGUUCCGAAUCCCGCUGCCCCGA
rnacentral:tRNA from 1 species